rnacentral:rRNA from 1 species
GACGAACGCUGGCGGCGUGCUUAACACAUGCAAGUCGAACGAAGUGGCGAACGGGUGAGUAACGCGUAAUCAACCUGCCCUUCAGAGGGGGACACCAGUUGGAACCGACUGCUAAUACCGCAUACUGAAGGAGGGGAUUGCGUCUGAUUAGCUGGUUGGAGGGGUAACGGCCCACCAAGGCGAUGAUCAGUAGCCGGGCUUAGAGGAGGAACGGCCACAUUGGGACUGAGACCCGGGCCAGACUCCUACGGGAGGGAGCAGGGGGGAAUCUUCCGCAAUGGAGGGAAGGCUGACGGAGCAACGCCGCGGGAGGGAUGACAGCCUUCGGGUUGUAAAGCUCUGUUAAUCGGGACGCGGUACCGGAAUAGAAAGCCACGGCUAACUCCGUGCCAGCAGCCGCGGUAAUUC